UACGUAGGGUGCAAGCGUUGUCCGGAAUUAUUGGGCGUAAAGAGCUCGUAGGCGGCUUGUCGCGUCGGCUGUGAAAACCUGGGGCUCAACCCCGGGCCUGCAGCCGAUACGGGCAAGCUAGAGUUCGGUAGGGGAGACUGGAAUUCCUGGUGUAGCGGUGAAAUGCGCAGAUAUCGGGAGGAACACCGGUGGCGAAGGCGGUUCUCUGGGCAUUACCUGACGCUGAGGAGCGAAAGUGUGGGGGAGCGAACAGG
rnacentral:rRNA from 1 species